rnacentral:tRNA from 1 species
GCGGAAGUGGCGGAAUUGGUAGACGCGCUGGACUUAGGAUCCAGUGGGGUGACCCGUCCGGGUUCGAGUCCCGGCUUUCGCA